rnacentral:lncRNA from 1 species
GUUGACUCAUUUGGUCAAAUAGCCCAAUUAUUUCUCGACCCUAGUUCAAUCCAAACUUUUCUGCUAAUCAACCCUCCCGUAGGAUCCAACCAUAGACUACAGGGGUGUUUGGAUACUAGGUGCUAAACUUUAGCAGUGUCACAUCGGAUGUUCGGAUGCUAAUUAGAAGGACUAAACAUGAGGUAAUUAUAAAACUAAUCACAGAACCCUGUGCUAAUUCGCGAGACGAAUCUAUUAAGCCUAAUUAAUCCGUCAUUAGCAAAUGGUUACUGUAGCACCACAUUGUCAAAUCAUGGACUAAUUAGGCUUAAUAGAUUCGUCUCGCGAAUUAGACUCCAUCUGUGCAAUUAGUUUUAUAAUUAGCCUAUGUUUAAUACUCGUAAUUAGCAUCCAAACAUCCGAUGUCACAAGUGCUAAAGUUUUAGUGGGGUGUAUCCAAACACCCCAUAUUUGAACUUGUCCUAAAUUUUGGACCAUCGAUUCAUGCGAUCCAACGGCCUACUUCUCAACUUCACUACUUUUUCAAGUCUAGUUAUUGGGCUUUUCCUAAAUUUGGACUGACAAUUCAUGUGAUCCAACAACCCAUUUUACACAUGUUUAAUAUAAUUUUUCUCCCCAUCAAUCCCCACCCUCCCGUUCCGCCGCUACCACCCACAGUUAUCGACAUUCGACACCAAUAAGCCACCCCCAAAGCCUCUGUCCUCCAUCAGCAUUACCUGACUGCUUGACUAUUGCGACCUUCUCCAUUGUGCCGCUCACCCCUGAAUGAUUAGAUCCUCCUCUCCGAUGCAUUCCCAUGACAAUAUUUGUUGUUGCACAGACUCAAUUGGCUUUGCCAGUAUAUAUGAUGACUUGAUGCCCUCCAUCUCCGUUCCUGUUCAUCACUACCAUAGUUGCAACUUUCCCUUUUUACUCGCUACACUCCAGUGAGCAAGGCCCCUACCCUAAUUCCUC